GGCGAGUACAACUCGAUCUUCUUAGACGGCUCGGUGGGGGCGGGAAUAACAAAGCUCUUAGUAGGAGAGGAAACGCCAUCGAGAGUGGGUGAAGAUUGAAGCAUCUUCUUGAGAGGGAGGGUUCGAGUGGAAGAAGGGGAGGAGUAGAGGAAGCUGGGGAUCAGAGACUGGCGAGAGGGUUUAUCAGAGAGUGCCAUGGGA
rnacentral:misc_RNA from 1 species